AAAUAUCUACUCGCAGUGACAGUGCUACUUCCAAGCCUUCCCCACCUGUCAGUGCCAGGCUACGCUACACCACCCUGCUAAUGGUAACCUAACCAUCACCAUUAGCCAUCCAAUUAAGUUACUGUGCAUGACAGACAUGCAUGUCUCACUGUCCCUUCAGAAUUCAUGCUUCUCCACUCCCUCCCCUGCAUCCGGAUCCUCAUGUCUCUGCUGAAUUAAAAAAAAACACUAAAUGGAUACUACAAAAUAAGAGAUUUAGAUUGGUCUCCGGAGGCAUUAUUUAAAAAAACCCGUACCUGUCGAUUAAGAUCAUGAGCUUGAGAUCUUGUCGCUGUCAGAAGCUCAGAAAUAGUACUGUAAUGGUACUGUUCUGAUGUGAUCUUCAACUGAUUUGCUCAACAAGUGAAGAAGAUCCAUCUCCAUCUCUGGCUCUGCUCCUGCGUAGUACCGGAAAUCCUGACAUCUGUGUUUAUAUAUAUAUAUAUAUAUAUUUUUCCUGAGCUCUGUAGUUACCUAGCGUUUGUACUGUCAAGACCUUUCCAAUUAAUGAAAAACACGCUUCUACGUGGUCUCAAAAAAAGAGAAAAUUAAAGAAAAGAAAAUAAAGGUGCAGG
rnacentral:lncRNA from 1 species